GUAGGGUGCAAGCGUUAAUCGGAAUUACUGGGCGUAAAGCGUGCGCAGGCGGGUUUGUAAGUCUGUCGUGAAAGCCUCGGGGCUCAACCUGGGAAUUGCGAUGGAGACUGCAAGGCUUGAAUCUGGCAGAGGGGGGUAGAAUUCCACGUGUAGCAGUGAAAUGCGUAGAGAUGUGGAGGAACACCGAUGGCGAAGGCAGCCCCCUGGGUCAAGAUUGACGCUCAUGCACGAAAGCGUGGGGAGCAAACAGGAUUAGAUACCCUGGUAGUCCACGCCCUAAACGAUGUCUACUAGUUGUCGGGUUUUAAUUAACUUGGUAACGCAGCUAACGCGUGAAGUAGACCGCCUGGGGAGUACGGUCGCAAGAUUA
rnacentral:rRNA from 1 species